GACGAACGCUGGCGGCGUGCUUAACACAUGCAAGUCGAACGGAAAGGCCCUGCUUUUGUGGGGUGCUCGAGUGGCGAACGGGUGAGUAACACGUGAGUAACCUGCCCUUGACUUUGGGAUAACUUCAGGAAACUGGGGCUAAUACCGGAUAGGAGCUCCUGCUGCAUGGUGGGGGUUGGAAAGUUUCGGCGGUUGGGGAUGGACUCGCGGCUUAUCCGCUUGUUGGUCGGGUAGUGGCUUACCAAGCCUUUGACGGGUAGCCGGCCUGGGAGGGUGGCCGGGGACAAUGCGACUGAGAUACGGCGCAGACUGGUACGGGAGGCAGCGGUGGAGAAUAUGACACAGUGGGCGGGAGCCUGAGACGGCAACGCCGCGUGCGGGAUGACGGCCUUCGGGUUGUAAACCGCUUUCGCCUGUGACGAAGCGUGAGUGACGGUAAUGGGUAAAGAAGCACCGGCUAUCUACGUG
rnacentral:rRNA from 1 species